rnacentral:rRNA from 1 species
AUUGAACGCUGGCGGCAUGCCUUACACAUGCAAGUCGAACGGUAACAGGGAGCUUGCUCCGCUGACGAGUGGCGAACGGGUGAGUAAUGUAUCGGAACGUACCUUUCAGUGGGGGAUAACGUAGCGAAAGUUACGCUAAUACCGCAUAUUCUGUGCGCAGGAAAGCAGGGGAUCGCAAGACCUUGCGCUGAUUGAGCGGCCGAUAUCAGAUUAGCUAGUUGGUGAGGUAAAGGCUCACCAAGGGGACGAUCUGUAGCGGGUCUGAGAGGAUGAUCCGCCACACUGGAACUGAGACACGGUCCAGACUCCUACGGGAGGCAGCAGUGGGGAAUUUUGGACAAUGGGGGCAACCCUGAUCCAGCCAUGCCGCGUGAGUGAAGAAGGCCUUCGGGUUGUAAAGCUCUUUCGGCCGGGAAGAAAUCGCAUGGGCUAAUACCCUGUGCGGAUGACGGUACCGGCAUAAGAAGCACCGGCUAACUACGUGCCAGCAGCCGCGGUAAAAC